UUUAACUCAUUCAGUUGUUUAAGUUUGACUUUUUGGGGAAUUAUACAUCUGUCUUUUAUUCUUCAAUUUCUUAAAAUGUUUCCUUGGAUUUUAGAUUUUAAAUUGUGGGAAUAUAUAGCAUAUUAUGCCUCUGUCCGUUAGAAAAUUUGACAGUCAGCAACGUUUGCUACAAUGUUCGAAGGAAUAUUUCAAUAUAUAUGGCAUUAAAAAGGGUGCAAUGUGAAGAGCAAACAGCAAUCAGACCAAGCAGCGAUACCUAGUGACACCUCCAAUCGGGAAAAGAAUGUAAAGUUUUUACAGUUGAAAGUGAAUAAAUAAGAUUUGACAAUGCUUGCCCAUUUCGUUUUAUCUUGAACCUGAUGACAGUGGCUGCAUUGUAAUGGUCUUAUUGGUCAGGGUGUACAGCCUAUUAGAAGGGUGAGCGAGGAUGGCUACCAUGGUUGGCCAUAGAAAGACUGCAAAGAGAGGAAACUUUUUAAACUUCUAUUAGCAAAUUUGUGCUCGUUGGACUUAAGGAUUUCGGCGUUCCUCAUUUCAGUUUUUGUUUGAGUGAGGAGAUGGCUCUUACAACCUCGAAUCCCACCAAAAUACACAUGAUUCUGUAUGGGUAUUUACAUGUUAUUGUGCAAAAAGAACAUUAGUUUUUGUUUUGCGAAUGGAAAUUCAUUAAUAGCUAAGGAUUUAAUACACGUGUGGAUUACUUAUUUUUCAUUGCAAAUGGUUUGUAUCGUCUUAAUCGUAGUUAAUAAGGUUUGUAAUUAUGAAAUAAAAAAAUAUUGAAUUUA